rnacentral:rRNA from 1 species
GACCGAGGGGGCAAGCGUUGCUCGGAAUUACUGGGCGUAAAGGGCGCGUAGGCGGGAUGGCAAGUCGGUCGUGAAAUCCUUCGGCUCAACCGAAGAACGUCGAUCGAUACUGCUGUUCUUGAGGGUUGCAGAGGAGACUGGAAUUCCUGGUGUAGCGGUGAAAUGCGCAGAUAUCAGGAAGAACACCCGUGGCGAAGGCGGCUCUCUGGGACGGUACUGACGCUGAGACGCGAAAGCGUGGGGAGCGAACAGG